CGGAUUGGAGUCUGNAACCCGACUCCAUGAAGCUGGAUUCGCUAGUAAUCGCGCAUCAGCCACGGCGCGGUGAAUACGUUCCCGGGCCUUGUACACACCGCCCGUCAAGCCAUGGAAGCCGGGAGUGCCUGAAGUGCGUGACCGCAAGGAGCGUCCUAAGGCAAUACCGGUGACUGGGGCUAAGUCGUAACAAGGUACC
rnacentral:rRNA from 1 species